rnacentral:ncRNA from 2 species
UAAGGACAAAAGGGGUGCUAGCCUCUCAAUGCCCCAGCGGCAGAGAGAUCGGCAGCUGAGAACAAACCCUCAUACCUGAUCCAGAUAGUACUGGCGUAGGGAUUUAUCCGUGUCGGAGG